rnacentral:rRNA from 1 species
GACGAACGCUGGCGGCGUGCUUAACACAUGCAAGUCGAACGAUGAACUGGAGCUUGCUCCAGGGAUUAGUGGCGAACGGGUGAGUAACACGUGAGUAACCUGCCCUUGACUCUGGGAUAAGCGCUAGAAAUGGCGUCUAAUACCGGAUACGAGCUUCAGCCGCAUGGCUAGGAGUUGGAAAGAAUUUUGGUCAAGGAUGGACUCGCGGCCUAUCAGCUAGUUGGUGAGGUAAUGGCUCACCAAGGCGACGACGGGUAGCCGGCCUGAGAGGGUGACCGGCCACACUGGGACUGAGACACGGCCCAGACUCCUACGGGAGGCAGCAGUGGGGAAUAUUGCACAAUGGGCGAAAGCCUGAUGCAGCAACGCCGCGUGAGGGAUGACGGCCUUCGGGUUGUAAACCUCUUUUAGUAGGGAAGAAGCGAAAGUGACGGUACCUGCAGAAAAAGCACCGGCUAACUACGUGCCAGCAGCCGCGGUAAUACGUANGGUGCAAGCGUUGUCCGGAAUUAUUGGGCGUAAAGAGCUCGUAGGCGGUUUGUCGCGUCUGCUGUGAAAUCUGGGGGCUCAACCCCCAGCCUGCAGUGGGUACGGGCAGACUAGAGUGCGGUAGGGGAGAUUGGAAUUCCUGGUGUAGCGGUGGAAUGCGCAGAUAUCAGGAGGAACACCGAUGGCGAAGGCAGAUCUCUGGGCCGUAACUGACGCUGAGGAGCGAAAGCAUGGGGAGCGAACAGGAUUAGAUACCCUGGUAGUCCAUGCCGUAAACGUUGGGAACUAGAUGUGGGGGCCAUUCCACGGUCUCCGUGUCGCAGCUAACGCAUUAAGUUCCCCGCCUGGGGAGUACGGCCGCAAGGCUAAAACUCAAAGGAAUUGACGGGGGCCCGCACAAGCGGCGGAGCAUGCGGAUUAAUUCGAUGCAACGCGAAGAACCUUACCAAGGCUUGACAUAUACCGGAAACGUCCAGAGAUGGUCGCCCCGCAAGGUCGGUAUACAGGUGGUGCAUGGUUGUCGUCAGCUCGUGUCGUGAGAUGUUGGGUUAAGUCCCGCAACGAGCGCAACCCUCGUUCUAUGUUGCCAGCACGUUAUGGUGGGAACUCAU